UUUCUAAGAGGUUUAUAAUCACUGUCAAUCACUAGAGAAUCAACAUAAAUAUUUUAGAUAUUUGUAGCAAAGUGCCCUGCCACAAAAUUGUGAUCAAUGGUGUCUUUUUUUGUUUAUAGCAGCAGAAACACUUGAAAUGCUGUUAACCAAAAUUGUGAGCUGGUUUCUUUUCUCUCUAAUCUGAUCCCAAGAAGAUGAGAAAAUGGAGUGAUCAAAUUUGAAGGGUCGCUACAAGUCAAUUUGAUCUCAUUGAAGUGGAUGAUGAAGAGUUUUUGAACUAUUGUAAAAGUUUGAAUACAUUAUGUGUGAUUUUGUGAAAUAUAUUCUUUGCUAGAAUAUAUUGAACUUAUUGUAAGAGUACUUUUGAACAAUUGUGUACACAUAUUUAGAAUAUUGCUUUAUAA